UUUACUUUUACGUUAGACAUUUGGUUAACUUUUAGACCAUUUUUCUUUGCUACGUCUUACACUACACAACAUUUUGGUUUCUUUCCUUUUCUGAAAACUCAAAUUCUACCGUGUGUUAACUUAUGUAUUCGUAAAUCAAGUCAAAAAUUUAUACAUAAAAAGAAAAGAAUGCCAGGCAUAUUCGGGAAGUUCCCGACUAACCGUCUCGGACCUAAUCUCCUCCAGAUAUCUAGAUGCGUCAGCUACCAUGCUCCGCUUUACCGACCGCGCAGCCUACUCCAUCCAGAACGGUUGAGGCAACUUUGCACCAGUGCCUCCUCCGGAUCCAAGUCUAGCCGGAGGACGAGUCAUCCGUGUCGCGUCCGGGUGCAGAGGUACUCCCAAAAGGGUAGCAAUGUGUUCUCGGUCAGCGAUAACGUGGAUAUGCUGCGCAAGCGGAUUAGCUUUUCCGGCAGCUCGGGCAAUGCGCCCAAAAUCAUGCCCAUUGGACUGAUCACACCGGAAAAGGGCGAUGGCAAGGAUCUGAAGAUAGUCAUUGUGCCCUUGGAUCUGUCCGGCAUGGAUGGCAACGAGCUCAAGGACACAUUGGAAACCAUCAACAAGUUGCGCUUGUACGCCAACCACAUCGAGACCUUCUCCAACAGCAUGGUCGAGGAAUACGGUGCCUUGAACGAUGCCCUGCAGGAUCAGGAUCAGCCAAAAGAAGUCAAGGCCGGGGCGGGUGCCCAGGACCGCAAAUUUUGGGAGGCCUACCCAUCCACGUCAACGGCGGACGCUGUGGGAACUGCACUGGAUGCGGGUCAGGGUGUAAACAUGCCGCUGCAACGCCAGACGGCAGUCAAUAGUUGCCUCCAAAACGCUUUGGGUAAUCCAGCUAUCAACUCCGCUCUGAAAACCACCAAAUCCAUGUCGGCCAUGGCCCAGACGGAACCCAUCCAUGGCUCAACCAGGGCAUCCAAUCUCCAAGAGCUCGCCAACCAAGAGAGCGACUUCGUCGAGGAGGUGCGUGUGGAUGUGCCGCAGGAUUUGAGCAAUCGCCUCAACGAUAUGGCCGUUUCGUCAAUGGAGCUGUCCUUCGAAAUGGACAUGACCAAUCUGCGUCAGGCUCUGGAGAGCAAGGACACGAACGCCGUAACUCCGCAGGAUCCCAUGAUCUGUAUGCACACAAAGGUGGAAUUGGAUGCUCCUGGCACCGUGGAGAAGACGCUGCCGCUUAGGUUCAACGCCUUGAUCUCGGGCGUAGUGGAGAUCGAUACCCAGAAGUUGAGCCCCGCCCAGCUGACGGAGGACAAAAUGCCGGGCUUCAACGAUGACCUCACCUCGCUGGCUGCCAACCUAUGCAGUACCGCCUUGGAGAAAGGUUUCGCAGGAAAAUCCUCGGAUACCUACAUUGCCGACCUGGAACUGACCAAGGAUGAGGAGACUAUUCCUAAUAGGAUCAUCGAUACUUCCCAUAUGUCGGCGGCUAAUCAAGUUGGUCAAGUGCGGGAAUCCCUGCAGAAGAUAACCGAAGAAGCGUGUGCCAUGCCCGGUACUCAGGAGCAAGAGGUGCCAGUUCCCGUGGACAAAGACGGCUGCAAGCAUCCUCCCGUGAAACCCAAGCGCAAAUGCCCUGGCAAAUGUCCCUUAAUCACAGAUCCCUGCAAGGAGGAUCCCUGCGUGCGGCCUGGUAAGAAGAAGGCACCCAAGAAGAAAGCCUUGAAUACCACUGAGAUCACGUGCAAGGGAAAGGGCGGCGGCAAGAGUGCUUGCGGCAAGGAUAAGAAGAAGGAUCCGUGUGGCAAGAAGGACAGUAAGAAAAAGGACCCUUGUGCUAAGUUCAAGUCUGGAGAGAAGAAGGAUCCAUGCGCCAAGAAGAAGGCAGAUCCCUGUGCCAAGAAGAAGAAGGAUCCUUGUGCUAAGAAGAAGGCAGAUCCUUGUGCCAAGAAGAAGAAGGAUCCUUGUGCCAAGAAGAAGGCAGAUCCCUGUGCCAAGAAGAAGAAGGAUCCUUGUGCCAAGAAGAAGAAGGAUCCUUGUGCUAAGAAGAAGGCAGAUCCUUGUGCCAAGAAGAAGAAGGAUCCUUGUGCCAAGAAAGGUGACAAAAAGAAGGAUCCCUGUGCCAAGUUCAAGAAGGGAGGUAGUGGCGGCAAGAGCAAAUGCAAGUUCUCCACCGUUGCUAACCUACCGGAAGCAAGCAGGCGCCACUUGUCCACCGCCUUGGGCCAAGCCUUCCGUGAAUCGAAUACUGUUUCAAAUGGUCCCCGCUUCAAAGUCUACUCCACUCUUGUGCGCCGUCACUAUCGUGUCCCUGUUCCGAAGAUUGGGAGCUCUUGCCAGUGCUCGCACUGCACGAGUCGGCUGCUACACAAGGCAGUUGCUCCGGCCCGAUUCACCAUUAACACGGCCCUCAUGAGAAGACGCUUCGGCGGACUUGCGGGAAGGAUCUCCGGUGGAGCCAUGCCACAAAACGGCAAUCGCGGCUACGCCAAGAAGGGCAAAUCCGGCGGCAAGUGUGGCGAAAUGCAGACCAAAUACCCCAUCAAUCGUGGCAAGGACAUCAAGGAGCGAACGGGACUGCGCGAGGAUUGCUUCAACGACGAAGGCGACUGUCCAAAGAAAAGCUGCACCGGCAAAUGCGCCAAGGUCAAGUUCCCGAAGAAGAAAUGCGAUCGCAAGAAGAAAAAGGAUGAAUAGGCAAUCUCUUGGCCCGGAGUUCUAUUGUCCAGCUGCAGCCGCAGAGAAGAUCAUUCAGCACGCGGCCAUGUUGCCAUCCACCCUCUGAAAAGCGCACCGCGGAUGAUGAAGCACUUACGCUACGCAUAACGAAUCCCUACGAGAUCAGCGUGGUUCCCUUUUCCAAGCCCCGACCAAAGGAUUUUGACGUCCUCAUUCGAACGGGCUCAGUGGCCGUCUCCAACUCGGACAUCCAUGUCUUUGAGAACGGCAAUCGGGACAUGGAAGCUAUGUCCCUGGGCCAUGAUGCGACGGGCAUCGUGGAGGAACUCGGUCGAUGCGUCCAGCAUCUGCACGUGGGUGACCGGGUCGUCAUGGAAUCGGCAUUAUCCUGCGGCAUCUGUGACCUAUGCAAGAA
rnacentral:misc_RNA from 1 species